rnacentral:rRNA from 1 species
CCCGGCGACCGGCGCACGGGUGAGUAACACGUAUGAAACCUGCCCGUAGCAGGGGGAUAAGCGGAAGAAAUUCCGUCUAAUACCGCGUAACAACCCAUGGAGGUCAUCUCUGUGGGUUUAAAGGAAGCGAUUCCGGCUACGGAUGGUCAUGCGUCGCAUUAGCUUGUUGGCGGGGUAACGGCCCACCAAGGCGACGAUGCGUAGGGGUUCUGAGAGGAAGGUCCCCCACACUGGUACUGAGACACGGACCAGACUCCUACGGGAGGCAGCAG